GACGAACGCUGGCGGCGUGCCUAAUACAUGCAAGUAGAACGCCGUUGCGAACGGGUGAGUAACACGUCGGUAACUGCCUCAUAGCAGGGGAUAACUAUUGGAAACGAUAGCUAAUACCGCAUACUUUGAGCUGGACCUGCGUUGUAUUGGCUAGUUGGGGAGGUAAACGCUCACCAAGGCGACGAUACAUAGCCGAUCGUAGAGGGGGAUCGGUCAACACGGGACUGAGACCAGGCCCAGAAUCCUUCGGGAUGCAGCAGUAGGGAAACUUCGUCAAUGGAGGGAAUGCUGACCGCGCCACUGCGCGGGAGUGAAGAAGGUUUUCGGAUCGUAAAGGUCUGUUGUUAGAGGAGCGGUAACUAAACAGAAAGGGACGGCUAACUACGUGCCAGCAGCCGCGGUAAUAC
rnacentral:rRNA from 1 species